UACGUAGGGGGCAAGCGUUAUCCGGAUUUACUGGGUGUAAAGGGAGCGUAGACGGCGGGGCAAGUCUGGAGUGAAAGGCCGGGGCCCAACCCCGGGACCGCUCUGGAAACUGCCCGGCUGGAGUGCGGGAGAAGUACGCGGAAUGCGCGGUGUAGCGGUGAAAUGCAUAGAUAUCGCGCAGAACUCCGAUUGCGAAGGCAGCGUACCGGCGCCACACUGACGCUGAGGCACGAAAGCGUGGGGAUCGAACAGG
rnacentral:rRNA from 1 species